GUGUCCUUGCCAAAUAAGGGAUGGUUUGGUUGAUUUGAUGAAAAAGGGGGAUAAUGGCCGGGUCUCAUCCUCCCCCUGUCUCUUAUGGUGAACCUGGAGGAGGUACCAAGUUGGAUGUGUCCCCACUGGGUUGUAAGUCGACCAGUGGGGAGCAUUAUGGUUGGGCCCCACCGAGUUGGUGGGGAGCCCUGAAAAGGAAGAUGUUUUUAUUAUGCCGAGGGGGGGAGGUGAGAGCCUUGGGGAAGUUAGAUUGGCAAGGGCGGUUUCUUUGGUUACUGUAUGACUAUAUGCAAAUUGUUUAUGUUAAUUUAUGAUAUUUAUUAUUUCGUUAUAUGUUAAAG